AGGCAGCAUUGAAGGUAAAGUAAGCAGGUACACUUUGCAGUGAAAUGAAUCACCAAAGCCUUACAUACAGUUAGUGUGUGUGUUUAUGUGUACAUGCAUACGCAUUAGGGUCUUCAACUAUCUCCUCGAUCAGAUGCCAAAACAACACGUGGGGCACGUUUCUCAGUCUAACAUUGGCAAUCUCCUGGAAGGCCCUUCACGCUUUUUUUUCCGCACCCAGCCUAGCAGUAACCUCAUGCAUCAUCCUGCUCUUCCACGCUUCUGCUCUUGAGGACCCUUGACUCCAACCCUAUAAGACCUCCAUUACCCUGAGGCUGUUGCUCCCGUUGUGUUGAGAGCAAUAAGAAGACUGAGUGGGACUGCAGGCUCAAAAUCAAGAGAAACCUCCUAUAAGUUCUUCACACUCUCCCUUAACAACCAGGCAUAGGCAGGACCGCCCUGCUUUACAUGCCGGGGAAAUAACUCGUUGAAUAUUGCCCGUUUCCUUCCCACCCCCGGGACAGGUCUUGCCGAGGAAAAUCUGCGCCCACCCCAAACGGGACUCACUCCACCAGGCCUCCCUUCCCUCUUACAGUUCUCCGGUCGCCUCGCUAGGUAAAAAAGGAGGCUGGGAAGAGGUAGAGGCAAAGCCGCCGACUUCCCGCCCACUGCUGCGGUGUGAAAAGGAAGUAGGGGGGAGUAAAAAGCCAAGGAAACAGCGCGGCGGCCUUCCACCACGGGGCCUGCAGCGCGGCGAGCGAGCCUAAAGCGGGGGGCUAACGCUUCCCCGUCGCCCCUCGCGCGCGGACACAGCCUCCGAGCUGCGGCGCAGCGCCCGCCGCUGCCACUUCCGCCUUGCCCAUGAUUGCCGGCGCUGCUGAGAGGGAAGAGCGACGCCGCCUCCUUCCUUGUUGGGCGGUCAGAGGGCGGAGGGCAGGGUUCAUGCGGGCGCCGCCCGCGCCGCUGCUGCUGCUGAAGUCCGGGCGGGAGGAGGACCCGGGCGGAGGAGGAGCGCCUUGCGUUCCCAAGGGGAAAAGAGAAGAUUCCUGGCAGAAAACACUAGCCAGUUUACACUAGCAAUUUGUUGUGAAAACACAACCCAAAUGGUCAGCAGGAUCCUGUGAAUCUGGAUAUUUUCACUAGCAAGCAGCAAAAUCUAUACACCAGACCAUCAUUGCAUCACAUGCAUUUUGCAGUACAACCAUAACUGUUUAUGUGACCUGCCUGAUUUUGGUGCACUUGUCUCACAUUUU
ensembl:lncRNA